rnacentral:rRNA from 1 species
UACGAAGGGGGGCUAGCGUUGCUCGGAAUCACUGGGCGUAAAGCGCAUGUAGGCGGCUUUUUAAGUCAGGGGUGAAAUCCUGGAGCUCAACUCCAGAACUGCCUUUUGAUACUGGAUGGCUUGAGAUUGGGAGAGGGAUGCGGAAUUCCAGGUGUAGCGGUGAAAUGCGUAGAUAUCUGGAGGAACACCGGUGGCGAAGGCGGCAUCCUGGACCAACACUGACGCUGAGGAGCGAAAGCCAGGGGAGCAAACGGG